rnacentral:tRNA from 1 species
GGUGAUGGGGUUUGAAGCAGAAUCGGUUUCAACAGCCAAACCGUGCACGCGCAUCAUCA